UGACUGCGUACCUUUUGUAUAAUGGGUCAGCGACUUAUAUUCUGUAGCAAGGUUAACCGAAUAGGGGAGCCGGAGGGAAACCGAGUCUUAAGGGCGUUAAGUUGCAGGGUAUAGACCCGAAACCCGGUGAUCUAGCCAUGGGCAGGUUGAAGGUUGGGUAACACUAACUGGAGGACCGAACCGACUAAUGUUGAAAAAUUAGCGGAUGACCUGUGGCUGGGGGUGAAAGGCCAAUCAAACCGGGAGAUAGCUGGUUCUCCCCGAAAGCUAUUUAGGUAGCGCCUCGUGAAUUCAUCUCCGGGGGUAGAGCACUGUUUCGGCUAGGGGGCCAUCCCGGCUUACCAACCCGAUGCAAACUGCGAAUACCGGAGAAUGUUAUCACGGGAGACACACGGCGGGUGCUAACGUCCGUCGUGAAGAGGGAAACAACCCAGACCGCCAGCUAAGGUCCCAAAGUCAUGGUUAAGUGGGAAACGAUGUGGGAAGGCCCAGACAGCCAGGAUGUUGGCUUAGAAGCAGCCAUCAUUUAAAGAAAGCGUAAUAGCUCACUGGUCGAGUCGGCCUGCGCGGAAGAUGUAACGGGGCUAAACCAUGCACCGAAGCUGCGGCAGCGACACUGUGUGUUGUUGGGUAGGGGAGCGUUCUGUAAGCCUGUGAAGGUGUGUCGUGAGGCAUGCUGGAGGUAUCAGAAGUGCGAAUGCUGACAUAAGUAACGAUAAAGCGGGUGAAAAGCCCGCUCGCCGGAAGACCAAGGGUUCCUGUCCAACGUUAAUCGGGGCAGGGUGAGUCGACCCCUAAGGCGAGGCCGAAAGGCGUAGUCGAUGGGAAACGGGUUAAUAUUCCCGUACUUGGUGUUACUGCGAAGGGGGGACGGAGAAGGCUAUGUUGGCCGGGCGACGGUUGUCCCGGUUUAAGCGUGUAGGUGUGUGUUCCAGGUAAAUCCGGUUCACUUUAACACUGAGGCGUGACGACGAGGCACUACGGUGCUGAAGCAACAAAUGCCCUGCUUCCAGGAAAAGCCUCUAAGCAUCAGGUAACAUCAAAUCGUACCCCAAACCGACACAGGUGGUCAGGUAGAGAAUACCAAGGCGCUUGAGAGAACUCGGGUGAAGGAACUAGGCAAAAUGGUGCCGUAACUUCGGGAGAAGGCACGCUGACACGUAGGUGAAGUGAUUUACUCAUGGAGCUGAAGUCAGUCGAAGAUACCAGCUGGCUGCAACUGUUUAUUAAAAACACAGCACUGUGCAAACACGAAAGUGGACGUAUACGGUGUGACGCCUGCCCGGUGCCGGAAGGUUAAUUGAUGGGGUCAGCGCAAGCGAAGCUCCUGAUCGAAGCCCCGGUAAACGGCGGCCGUAACUAUAACGGUCCUAAGGUAGCGAAAUUCCUUGUCGGGUAAGUUCCGACCUGCACGAAUGGCGUAAUGAUGGCCAGGCUGUCUCCACCCGAGACUCAGUGAAAUUGAACUCGCUGUGAAGAUGCAGUGUACCCGCGGCAAGACGGAAAGACCCCGUGAACCUUUACUAUAGCUUGACACUGAACAUUGAGCCUUGAUGUGUAGGAUAGGUGGGAGGCUUUGAAGUGUGGACGCCAGUCUGCAUGGAGCCGACCUUGAAAUACCACCCUUUAAUGUUUGAUGUUCUAACGUGGACCCGUUACCCGGGUUGCGGACAGUGUCUGGUGGGUAGUUUGACUGGGGCGGUCUCCUCCUAAAGAGUAACGGAGGAGCACGAAGGUUGGCUAAUCCUGGUCGGACAUCAGGAGGUUAGUGCAAUGGCAUAAGCCAGCUUGACUGCGAGCGUGACGGCGCGAGCAGGUGCGAAAGCAGGUCAUAGUGAUCCGGUGGUUCUGAAUGGAAGGGCCAUCGCUCAACGGAUAAAAGGUACUCCGGGGAUAACAGGCUGAUACCGCCCAAGAGUUCAUAUCGACGGCGGUGUUUGGCACCUCGAUGUCGGCUCAUCACAUCCUGGGGCUGAAGUAGGUCCCAAGGGUAUGGCUGUUCGCCAUUUAAAGUGGUACGCGAGCUGGGUUUAGAACGUCGUGAGACAGUUCGGUCCCUAUCUGCCGUGGGCGCUGGAGAACUGAGGGGGGCUGCUCCUAGUACGAGAGGACCGGAGUGGACGCAUCACUGGUGUUCGGGUUGUCAUGCCAAUGGCACUGCCCGGUAGCUAAAUGCGGAAGAGAUAAGUGCUGAAAGCAUCUAAGCACGAAACUUGCCCCGAGAUGAGUUCU
rnacentral:rRNA from 1 species